rnacentral:snRNA from 1 species
UCUUUGAGAUCUUUCAAG